rnacentral:rRNA from 1 species
GACGAACGCUGGCGGCGUGCUUAACACAUGCAAGUCGAACGGAAAGGCCCUGCUCUUGUGGGGUGCUCGAGUGGCGAACGGGUGAGUAACACGUGAGUAACCUGCCCUUGACUUUGGGAUAACUUCAGGAAACAGGGGCUAAUACCGGACAGGAGCUCCUGCUGCACGGUGGGGGUUGGAAAGUUUCGGCGGUUGGGGAUGGACUCGCGGCUUAUCAGCUUGUUGGUGAGGUAGUGGCUUACCAAGGCUUUGACGGGUAGCCGGCCUGAGAGGGUGACCGGCCACAUUGGGACUGGGAUACGACCCAGACUCCUACGGGAGGCAGCGGUGGGGAAUAUUGCGCAAUGGGCGGAAGCCUGAUGCAGCAACGCCGCGUGCGGGAUGACGGCCUUCGGGUUGUAAACCGCUUUCGCCUGUGACGAAGCGUGAGUGACGGUAAUGGGUAAAGAAGCACCGGCUAACUACGUG